AUAUGACUUCUAAGCUGUUAAGAAUUCCAUAUUAUGUUGACCUGUGUCUUCCAAGUCCAGUUGGAGUUAGCGAAGAAACUGAGUGGAGACCAGACUGCACUGACAAGAUCAAAGGUCUCCAAGAAGAGUGCCAUUUCUUGGAACAGCAGAAGUCUUUUCUCACAUGAGCUACAUGACAGAGGAGUGUUACGCAACUCACCCAUGGAUGCUGGCAGCCAAAUAACACCCAGAGUUCUGAUUCUGCAUUAUGUAAUUGGAAAUCCCUGCAGUGCAGUAACUUUUCGAUGUGCAGGAUGAUCUAAAUUGAUGUCUCACUUCUACUCAGGGAGAACUAGACUGCCAAUGAUUUCAUUUGAUAUUUUUUGUUUUUGUUUUUUGUUUUUUUAGGGAGAGAUACUAUUAGAGAAAAUUGUAACCAAUGUUUCUGCAUGUCUGUUUUGUGCCGUUCCUUUUGAUUUACUUUUUCACAUCUGUGAGAUUGUGUAUUUUGUGAGCUUAUGUAUUUUAGGGGUGUGUGUGUGUAUGUGUAUAUAUGUUUACAUUUGCUCAGUUUCUGUGAAGUACUAAGAAGGUGCCUUGGCUAUUAUAUGUAUCACUUUUGCAUAUAAAGCAUGGUUGCUUAGUGGCCAAAACGUGGGACAUAUUCUCUCUAAGGCAGCAACUAGGUCUUUUGGCUGGCUCCAAAGAUGAUGCCUUUGGUUAUUUUGCAAGUGUUACUAUAGGAUCUGUUGCCUGUGACUCUCUUAACUUCCUGAAUGUGUUUUCUUUUCUUUCAACCUGAAGUCAAAGGUAUUACUACUCUUUCACCUGAUUUCUCAUAAAUGAUUGUUUACCUAUGACAUUUUCAUAAUAAAAAUGUGUUUCAAUGAAAAUUGUUUCCUUUUGGUUCAUUUUCAGUGUUGUUUUAUAUUAAUACUAAACAAGGACUUUCACCUGGAGGAAAAUAGUACUGAUUAUUUUGAAACUGGCAUUUUAACUGUUCCCUCAUGGCUUCAAAUGCAUAUGGGAUCCUUUUAUUCGCUAUUACCCUCUACUUUGACUCUUUAGAAUGUUUUAAAAGGGAAAUGUCUUUAUAUAUAAAAAAAAUGUGCCUGGGCAAUGAAAGAAAAUAAUUUAUAUUUUGUGGAAAACCAAGCUCUUCCUCCAUCACUAGCAAAAUUUCUAGCUCAGUCUAAUAUUCCACUUUCUCUUUCUUGAAUUCCAGCAACAACCUCCCAACUAGUUUCUCCAUAGCUACUCUGAUGCCCCCUAAAUUGGUUUUUGCAUGAACAAUUCAUAUUUGAUUAUAUUAACCCCUUCUUCUCUUCUAUAUACCUAUGCUUAAAGUUCUUUAAUGGUGUUCCUUUGUUCUUAGGAAAAGAAAAUAAACUCUUCAAUAUGGCUUACAAGGCUUGGCUUCCUCUUCCAGCCUCAUCUCAUUUACUCCAUGUUUUCCCUUCUCUGAGCUCCAGUCUCACUUUCCCUCUUUCAUGCCCUGAAAGCCCCAUGCUCGCUGUUACCCACACG
rnacentral:lncRNA from 1 species